rnacentral:tRNA from 1 species
AAGAUCUUAAGUUAAAUAAACUAUUAGCCUUCAAAGCUAAAAAUAAAAUAUAAAUUUUAGGCCUUA